AAAAUACAAACUGCAGGGGAUCUUUCUGGGAUCUCUUCUCUUGAGAAUUGGGAAGAUAGACCCGCUCCCAUGUUUAACACCUCAGAAAAGAAGGCGUGGUGAACUCUCCAGGCCAAGGAAUUGGAAGAUCUCCCCAAAACUCCUUUGGUACACGCUGCAGGGCCAACGAUUCCUCUGCUCUGCCCUGUCGGUGCUGCUUUGUCUCAUCUGGGUCCCCAGAAACUGUCAGCGAAAGCCAGGGAAUAAAAUCUCUGAGCAGUU